UCUCUGCUUAUAACAUAAAGACUUACUAAGAAUCUGUUUAAAUUAAAACCUAAAUCCGGCAGGGUAUCCAUAAGAUGUUUUGUAUCUAAAUCCGUAUACAACAACCCCAUACAAUGAAUUCCUAGACACAUGGCGUAUUUUGUAAACCGAUUGACCAGUCAUCUUCUUUACAACAGUUGUAAAACUUUCGUUGCGUCCCAUGAUUACAGUGGAUUCCACAUGUAAAAGAUUACCAACAAAUCGAAGUCCGUCUACGUCCGAGGUUUUAAUAGUUAUUGUUAUAUAAUUUCUAUAAGAUUGAUCUUUUGGUGGUGCAAUAACAUACUCUUUCAAAAAAUGUUCGAUUCCCGGAACAAUCAUCAUGCUUAUCCCCAGGUUUUCAGUUAAUGCAUACAGACAUAAAAGGAUAGGAUUGGAAGCAGAUACAAAAUACGCCUUUGGUGAUAAUCUAAUCUCUAUCUGAUCUCCGUACUCAGUAAUUGACCUUGAUGAAUUAUCCUUUAUGGUUAAAGUUGUAUUUCUAUAUUGGCUAAUUAUUCUAAUUUUAAAACUGGUUGCCUUAUGAAUUGGUGGGAUGAUGAAAU
rnacentral:lncRNA from 1 species